rnacentral:lncRNA from 1 species
CCUUGUCUUAUGAACUUUUCUGGGCUCUGAACCAUAUUUCGACUUUGUGAUAAAUCCAUAGAUAACGAUAGAAAAUAAACAGGCACUCGAAAACAGGUACAUGUUCGAGAAUCAUUAAGCAACACUUAGUGGUUAGAGAUAAAAACCAACAACAAUAACACACUUCAGAUUUUUCAUAAUGCUUUUUCAUGCUAAGUACAAUGCUCAAUAUUCUUCAUUUUGUUUUCUGAAUCUCGCAACAGGGGUUUAUAAGCUACAGAAAUUAGGCGUUUCGUCGUACAAUUCUUCAGAUGAGCUACAAACAUCUUCACCUACAGCCUACAAUGGCGAUUGCCCGACCAUCUCUUCAUAUAACUUCUCAAACUAAAUGCUCAUUCAUUGCCGGACCAACAAACAGUAAUGUAGAUUUUGAACUACUUCAAGCAACACAGAUGAUGGCAUGGCAGAAAUACGUAAGACGCCUGCUAAUCAUACCUUUGAAGUCUGAGAUCCAGGGGGCAAGAAUGAGUCCCACCACCCGGAUUCAUACUUCGGGUAUGGUGCUGUCCAUUUUUCCGGUUUUUCAAAUUCAAUACUAACAGGAGUACAUGCCAAAGCUUCUUCUACACUGUCAGCCUCGUAGCCCUCUUGUAAAACUCUGUCUAGCCUCAAUUUCAUGAACCUGCAAGUUUUGAAAAAUAGAUCAGGAGAAAUAUCGAAAAUGUGCAACUUCACCCUUCUGCGAUAUGAAAUAUCUUAAAUUUACAUUUACCAUCCGUUAUACUUUGGGGUCAUUCAUACCCUUGCCUCUAGCAAAUCUUCGCGUAAUUGCCCUUGUCUUUGUGGUGGACGGGGUGAUUCUACAUAUCAAAAAUACAUUGGGGGAAGACCCAAUUUUACCCCUCUAGUUUUUUAUGGUUUAAAUUUACUCACCGUUAUACUUCAUGUUGGAGUUUCGUCAGGGUCAAGGGCAAGGGCAAGUACGAGAUGAUUUGAUGACGUUGAAGAUACAAAUGACUCUAAACUAUACCAAAUGGUAAAGUUAAGAUAACUCGUAUAGUAUAGGGGUAUAUUUGACCAUUUUUCCGUGAUUAUAACUUGCUUACUAAAGACUGCAAUCUUUUGAUGAUGCAUACAGACAGGAAAGUGGAGUAAUUAGUAUGUCGAUUAUUUAACAAUGACAGCCCCUUACGUGAUCCAUGGGCCAUUCGUUGAAACAAGUGCUACAGCGGGUCUCUUCAGUCUCUUGGUGAUAUUAGGGAACUUGUCCAAGAACUUUGGCUCAACUACAAGCCAGAAAUCUGGUUCCAUGUUGCGCUCUUCAUAGAGGCGACGACGUUCAAACAUUUGCUCCUGGAAAUGCUCCUCUUCGUCCAGCAUAAAUUUGGCAUUUGCAACAAGAAAAUGGUACUUCUUACUUUCCGUCUCUUGCUGUAUAUGCAACAGAAUACCCGCAUCAACAUUCCUAACAUUGAACUAAAGCAAAAUGGCGCCAAAUAGGGAGUUACCGAAAAUUUGUCUUUUUCCUUUCCAAUGAAAGGACCUGUCACAGAUGACCAACAUAUACAUUCAUAGGCGAGUGAGAGUAGGACUAAUAAAAGAACAUGAACUACAUACCCUGAUCCUCUAAGAGAUGGUAGUUGGAACUUCAGACUAUUCCUCAAAACCGUCACUUUGACCUCCUCAAGGAACUAAUUUUCAUAUUGCUAAAUGAAAAAUGAACUAAGUUUUGAUCAGAGAAGAACUAGUGCAAUCACUCAAUCAACACAAUCAGCCACAGGUUAAACCCAAAUCAGUCAGGAUUUGCUAUAUGAAUCCUAUAUAACAUUCUGCUCUAAGUUUUAUUGCAUACAAUACUACCUAAUUUGCUUAUAAAGGCAAAUUUACAGGCUUUGCCAAUCUCUCACUUAUCCCAACACCACAUAGGUAGAAGUAAAAUUUGUGUACACUCACUCUCCCACGACUCCACUUGAGGGAUCUCACCGAGUAUGUUAUUGUUGAACUUAGAGAGCUCAACUAAGUAACACUCUUUUAUAAAAAAAAGUCUUGAGAGUUUCCUUGUCUUAUGAACUUUUCUGGGCUCUGAACCAUAUUUCGACUUUGUGAUAAAUCCAUAGAUAACGAUAGAAAAUAAACAGGCACUCGAAAACAGGUACAUGUUCGAGAAUCAUUAAACAACACUUAGUGGUUAGAGAUAAAAACCAACAACAAUAACACACUUCAGAUUUUUCAUAAUGCUUUUUCAUGCUAAGUACAAUGCUCAAUAUUCUUCAUUUUGUUUUCUGAAUCUCG